UAGGGAAUCUUCCACAAUGGGCGAAAGCCUGAUGGAGCAACGCCGCGUGUGCGAUGAAGGCUUUCGGGUCGUAAAGCACUGUUGUAUGGGAAGAACAGCUAGAAUAGGAAAUGAUUUUAGUUUGACGGUACCAUACCAGAAAGGGACGGCUAAAUACGUACCAG
rnacentral:rRNA from 1 species